rfam:Ciona savignyi cont_30192, whole genome shotgun sequence.
GUCUCUGUGGCGCAAUUGGUUAGCGCGUUCGGCUGUUAACCGAAGGUUGCUGAAUCAAGCCCAGCCAGGGACG